rnacentral:rRNA from 1 species
UGAAUACGAGACGCUAAGGCGUCGAAGUAGUGUAUGUCAUACUUCCAAGAAAAGCUUGCACUGUCAUAGAUAAAAAACGCCUGUACCAUAACCGACACAGGUGGGUAGGUAGAGUAUACUAAGGGGCGCGAGAUAACUCUCUCUAAGGAACUCGGCAAAAUAACUCCGUAACUUCGGGAGAAGGAGUGCCUUAUUCGUAAGGUUGCAAUAACAAGAUCCAAGCAACUGUUUAUCAAAAACACAGGUCUCCGCUAAGUCGUAAGACGAUGUAUGGGGGCUGACGCCUGCCCAGUGCCAGAAGGUUAAAGAAGUUGGUUAGCAAUUGCGAAGCUGAUAACUGAAGCCCUGGUGAACGGCGGCCGUAACAAUAACGGUCCUAAGGUAGCGAAAUUCCUUGACGGGUAAGUUCCGACCCGCACGAAAGGCGUAAUGAUUUGGAUACUGUCUCGGAGAGGGGCUCGGUGAAAUAGACUUGUCUGUGAAGAUGCGGACUACCUGCACCAGGACAGAAAGACCCUAUGAAGCUUUACUGUAACUUGAAAUUGAAAUUGGACUUUAUUCGCGCAGUAUAGGUGGGAGGCGUUGAUUAUAAUCUUGUGGGAUUAUUGGAGUCAUCAGUGAGAUACCACUCUUGUAAUGUUAGAUUUCUAACUUUGAAUCAUUAUCUGGUCAAAGAACAGUUUCAGGCGGGCAGUUUGACUGGGGCGGUCGCCUCCUAAACGGUAACGGAGGCGUACAAAGGUUUCCUCUGAACGGUUAGAAAUCGUAUCUAGAGUGUAAAGGCAUAAGGAAGCUUGACUGUGAGACCUACAAGUCGAGCAGGGACGAAAGUCGGUCUUAGUGAUCUGACGGUACUGAGUGGAAAGGCCGUCACUCAACGGAUAAAAGUUACUCUAAGGAUAACAGGCUGAUCUCCCCCAAGAGUUCACAUCGACGGGGAGGUUUGGCACCUUGAUGUCGGCUCAUCGCAUCCUGGGGCGGUAGUACGUCCCAAGGGUUGGGCUGUUCGCCCAUGAAAGCGGUACGCGAGCUGGGUUCAGAACGUCGUGAGACAGUUCGGUCCAUAUCCGGUGUAGGCGUUAGAAUAUUGAGAGGAGCCUUCUUUAGUACGAGAGGACCGAGAAGGACAUACCUCUGGUGUACCAGUUAUCGUGCCAACGGUAAACGCUGGGUAGCUAUGUAUGGAGUGGAUAACCGCUGAAAGCAUCUAAGUGGGAAGCCCACCUCAAGAUAAG